rnacentral:rRNA from 1 species
UACGGAGGGGGCUAGCGUUGUUCGGAAUUACUGGGCGUAAAGCGCACGUAGGCGGGUUGGUAAGUUGGGGGCGAAAUCCCAGGGCUCAACCCUGGAACUGCCUUCAAAACUCCCAGUCUGGAGGUCGAGAGAGGUGAGUGGAAUUCCGAGUGUAGAGGUGAAAUUCGUAGAUAUUCGGAGGAACACCAGUGGCGAAGGCGGCUCACUGGCUCGAUACUGACGCUGAGGUGCGAAAGCGUGGGGAGCAAACAGG